AUGAAGGAAGGGGAGAGUCGUGGCAAGAGGGCGAGUGCCGAGGAGGUGAAGUCGGAGUCAGAGAAAGGGGAGGUGACGAUGCAGGAUGAAGGCAAAGCAGGGGACGCGUUGGUGGCGCCGGAAUCCAUGGCACCGACGCAAAUCGACGUGAGGAUGGACGUGACACUCCUCCACUGCCAGGGCUGCCUCCUCCCCCUCAAGCCCCCGGUGUUCAAGUGCGAUGCCGUAGGGCACGUAGUGUGCUACUACUGCCGCGCCGGGCACCGCGCCGUCUGCAGCCGUACCAACACCCACUGCGGCCAGCUGGACAAGGUGGUCGGCGCCGCCAAGGUGCCGUGCCCCUACAAGGCGUUCGGCUGCGAGCGCUAUGUGGUGUUCCACGAGGCCGCGAACCACCAGCGCAUGUGCCAGUGCGCGCCCUGCACCUGCCCGGAGUCCGCAUGCGCCUUCGUGGGCUCCCGCGCAAUGCUGGCCAACCACUUCGCCGCCGAUCACCAGCGCCCCGCCGUCACGGUCCGCCAUGGCCGGUCUUGGUGCCUGAACUUCUCCCUGUCGCACGGCUGGCACCUGCUCGUCGGGGAGGAGGACCGCGGCGUGUUCCUCGUCUCCCUCCGUCCGCUCGGUCCGGGCACCGCCGUGUCACUGGUUCUGGUGCAAGCUCUCCAUUGA
rnacentral:rRNA from 1 species